rnacentral:rRNA from 1 species
AUUGAACGCUGGCGGCAUGCUUUACACGUGCAAGUCGAACGGUAACAGGUUAAGCUGACGAGUGGCGAACGGGUGUGUAAUGCAUCGGAACGUGCCCGAUCGUGGGGGAUAACGCAGCGAAAGCUGCGCUAAUACCGCAUACGAUCUGAGGAUGAAAGCGGGGGACCGUAAGGCCUCGCGCGAUCGGAGCGGCCGAUGUCAGAUUAGGUAGUUGGUGGGGUAAAGGCUCACCAAGCCAACGAUCUGUAGCUGGUCUGAGAGGACGACCAGCCACACUGGGACUGAGACACGGCCCAGACUCCUACGGGAGGCAGCAGUGGGGAAUUUUGGACAAUGGGCGAAAGCCUGAUCCAGCAAUGCCGCGUGCAGGAAGAAGGCCUUCGGGUUGUAAACUGCUUUUGUACGGAGCGAAAAGGCCCUCUCUAAUACAGUGGGCUCAUGACGGUACCGUAGGAAUAAGCACCGGCUAACUACGUGCCAGCAGCCGCCGUAA